AGAGAAGGGGUGGCCGCAGAUGCUGCUGCCUCAGGUGUACCCCGUGAGCAUCAGCCCCAACUACCUCCAGUACUAGUGUUGGGAGGUACUCCAGGACUGAGACGAUCUCAGCUGCCAGGGACCUGAUGGAGAGUUCCGAGUCUUUUCCCAAGGGCAGGAGCGCUGCAAGAGAAGGGAGCAGAGCAGCCGUGAGCCCCCAGUGCCCGCAGGGACCCCCAGGACCUCCCCCAGCCCAUGCCAACCCCAGCCAUCUCCUUCCCUGCCAGGAGGAGCCAGUGAGAGAACCAGAGCGGCUGAAGCUGCUGCUCAGGAAUGACCCGUGUGCCCCCGACACACAGAGGGGCUCAGGACUGGGCCAGGUCUCAGAGUCAUUUUUUCAUUUGCUGUACGAGUGGGUGUAGAGUUGUGUGCAGCCUCAACGAGCCCGUGUAUUGAUCUGAGCAUCCCAGUGUGGAGUCUGGACAUCAUCAGUCUCCUGGCAAGGGGCAGGACAGGGAUGGCUGUUCUUUCCCCACAAAUUCCCUUCCUUUUUGGUGAGAAAACAAAAUUCCUCCAAUUUCAAGACCUUACUAAAGAGAUAUGCUAACCUAUGUGUUAAGAUACAAACAACUUUGUGAAACUGCUCUUGAAAAAACCCUCCUGAAACUGCUCGUCUGCCCCUGGAGUAUUUUCCUGGGGCGGGGCUGGGCACGGCAGCACCUGCCCGGGAUC